CGGAGGAUCCAAGCGUUAUCCGGAAUCAUUGGGUUUAAAGGGUCCGUAGGCGGCCCUGUAAGUCAGCGGUGAAAUCUCCCGGCUCAACCGGGAAAUGGCCGUUGAUACUGCAGGGCUUGAAUUAGUAGGAAGUAACUAGAAUAUGUAGUGUAGCGGUGAAAUGCUUAGAGAUUACAUGGAAUACCAAUUGCGAAGGCAGGUUACUACUACUAUAUUGACGCUGAGGGACGAAAGCGUGGGUAGCGAACAGGAUU
rnacentral:rRNA from 1 species